CAGCAGCCGCGGUAAUACGAAGGGUGCAAGCGUUACUCGGAAUUACUGGGCGUAAAGCGUGCGUAGGUGGUGGUUUAAGUCCGUUGUGAAAGCCCUGGGCUCAACCUGGGAAUUGCAGUGGAUACUGGGUCACUAGAGUAAGGUAGAGGAUAGUGGAAUUUCCGGUGUAGCAGUGAAAUGCGUAGAGAUCGGAAGGAACAUCUGUGGCGAAGGCGACUAUCUGGGCCAUUACUGACACUGAGGCACGAAAGCGUGGGGAGCAAACAGGAUUAGAUACCCCCGUAGUCCCUGUCUCUUAUAC
rnacentral:rRNA from 1 species